rnacentral:tRNA from 1 species
UUCCAGUGGCUCUGAUGGUAAAGAAUCUGCCUGCAGUGCAAGAGACCCAGGUUCGAUUCCUGGAUUUGAAG